CGAGACCUCAGGUCAGGCGGGGCUACCCGCUGAAUUUAAGCAUAUCAAUAA
rnacentral:rRNA from 1 species